UACAGAGGGUGCGAGCGUUAAUCGGAAUUACUGGGCGUAAAGCGCACGUAGUCGGCUUUGCAAGUCGGGUGUGAAAUCCCCGGGCUUAACCCGGGAACUGCGUCCGAUACUGGCAGGCUUGAAUCCGGGAGAGGGAUGUGGAAUUCCAGGUGUAGCGGUGAAAUGCGUAGAUAUCUGGAGGAACACCGGUGGCGAAGGCGGCAUCCUGGACCGGUAUUGACACUGAGGCGCGAAAGCUAGGGGAGCAAACGGG
rnacentral:rRNA from 1 species